rnacentral:rRNA from 1 species
UAACGACUUCCCAACUGUCUCAACCAUAGACUCGGCGAAAUUGCACUACGAGUAAAGAUGCUCGUUACGCGCGGCAGGACGAAAAGACCCCGGGACCUUCACUACAACUUGGUAUUGGUGUUCGGUACGGUUUGUGUAGGAUAGGUGGGAGACUGUGAAACCCCAACGCCAGUUGGGGCGGAGUCGUUGUUGAAAUACCACUCUAAUCGUAUUGGACACCUAACGUCGAACCCUUAUCGGGUUCACGGACAGUGCCUGGCGGGUAGUUUAACUGGGGCGGUUGCCUCCUAAAAUGUAACGGAGGCGCCCAAAGGUUCCCUCAACCUGGACGGCAAUCAGGUGUUGAGUGUAAGUGCACAAGGGAGCUUGACUGCGAGACUUACAAGUCAAGCAGGGACGAAAGUCGGGACUAGUGAUCCGGCACCCCCGAGUGGAAGGGGUGUCGCUCAACGGAUAAAAGGUACCCCGGGGAUAACAGGCUG